GACGAACGCUGGCGGCGUGCUUAACACAUGCAAGUCGAACGAGAAAGGCUCUUCGGAGCUGAGUACAGUGGCGAACGGGUGGGUAACACGUGGGCAACCUGCCCCAUGGAGCGGGACAACCCGGGGAAACUCGGGCUAAUACCGCAUGGUUCGUACAGUCUCAAGUCUGUACGGGAAAUGGUAGCUUCGGCCUCCGCCAUGGGAUGGGCCCGCGGCGCAUUAGCUUGUUGGUGGGGUAACGGCUCACUAAGGCGACGAUGCGUAGCUGGUCUGAGAGGACGAUCAGCCACACUGGGACUGAGACACGGCCCAGACUCCUACGGGAGGCAGCAGUGGGGAAUCUUGCGCAAUGGGCGGAAGCCUGACGCAGCAACGCCGCGUGUGGGAAGACGGCCUUCGGGUUGUAAACCACUUUCAGGGGGGACGAAGCUUCCGAGGUUAAUAGCCUACGGGGUGACGGUACCCCCAGAAGAAGCCCCGGCUAACUACGUGC
rnacentral:rRNA from 1 species